GUCAAUAGGAAACCGAGUUAUCUUUUUCGUUAAAGUUUUUAUCAAAAAACAAAGAGGUGGCUUAUACACUUCGGUUAGUGAGAGGUAGAUAGGGCAGAUCGGAAAGGACAUCACUGUGGCGGGAAGAAUCUCUUACACUUACUAUGUGGGGGAAUAGUACUACGGGGGCUCGCUAUUCAACAAGUACAACGAGGUUGGACAUGAAUGUUUGAUAUCGAGCAAGUGGGUAUAUAUUAGUCGAAAAUAAUCAACUUUACGAUACAAGAUCUAAUCUUAAAACUAUUAUAAGUAAAUGAGAUGAAAAAUUAAAUAAGAAAGAUAAAAAAUUGAAAAAAGAAGGUUAACAUUCCUCCAUCUCGGGUUUGUUCUCAAAGGCUUAGAGGUUACGCUAGAUUGCUAUUCUUAGACUUGGACUAAUUUGGUACCCCCAUUUUGUUCUUUUUAAUCC